GCCGGGAAUUCCUCCGCGCCGGCCCGGCCGGAUCUCGCCGAGGGGCGGGGAUGCCGCUGGAGCGCCAGCGGCGCGGCCGAAGGAAGAAAGGAAGGAUUGCUCCCGGACCGCGGCCGCGCCGCCGCGCCGCGGGGCUCUCCCGGCCAGCGGGCCCAGAGCAGAGAGGGGACUAUUUCCCGGCGGCGGCGGCGGCGCAGGGAUCCCGGCGGGCGGGGUGUCGCGGCCGCCGGUGGUGUCGCGGCGAGGGGCGGGAGGAGCCGCGGCCGCGCAGGGGCCGAGCGGGGACAGGAGGCGCGGGCCGGGGGCCACGGAGCCGGGCUGAGGGCGGCCACCUCGGGGCCGGGCCCCAGCAGGGAAAGCCGAUGCUCUCACAUCGGUGAAAUCACACGGUGUGAGAACCCGUGCUGGUUUUUCUUUCUAAAUUCAGAAAGUGAUCUAUUUAUUUACCUGUUUAGUGCAAUUCCGGUGCGUUACCAAGUGCUGCGGUGUUACCAUCUAGUUUAUAUCAAAAUAUUCACGUUUUAUGAGGUAAAAAAGGGCUGACACGGGCUCCAGACCGAGGCUGAGUUACAAUGUGGCAACGGUCUUGCUACUUAAUCUGGAGAUGCAUUAUUAGCUGGUUUGUUUCUAUGCAAAUACAUUUAAUGUUGUUUUGGCUACUUUUUAAUAUGUGUUAAAGAUAUUUUUAAUGAUGCAGUGAUAACCUGUCAGUCUGAUUUCCAGAUGUAGGAGAAAAAAGUAUAAACUUAGAUUGCUAUCUAUUGAACUAAAAUCUCAUGUUCCAGCUAAGAGUGUCUGACACCAUCCAUUACCCUUUGUCACAUCUCAGCAAUUCUUCCCAAACUCUGCCCUGGCGGUUGUCUACCCCAAGUUGGCUGGUUGAUUGAUUGAUUGAUUGAUUGAAGAGUGCUAGCAGGAAUACUGCAGCUGCUUUCUCACGUGCUGUCUUCCAGUUAUAGGUUUCAAGAGUUAUCUGCUUUCCAGAUCUGAAUGGCAAUCUUCUGCAUCAGGACAGUUGGUAACUUACUCUUGGGAGACAGAGAAAGUCAAGUUGCUGUUCCUUUGAGAAGUCUAAGGACUUCAGCAGAUGCAGACAUUUUUCCUAUUUAAAUGCCUGUCACCAGCUGAUCAUAUCAUGCCCUUCUGAAACCUUUGCCGAAAUUUGAGACUCAGACUGUGUUGUACAGUGUUAGGGGUACAUUGAAUGGAGUGGGGAAUGUUAGGACUUUGCACUCUGUUAAAAAUAGUAUUUUGAAAUAAAUUAUUUGUUGCACUGUAGGAAGGCUUAUUCAGGAACAAGCAUAAUGGGUUAGUGCUAACAUCCAUCUUGUCCAGUACUUUGAUCCUGACAGGAACUCAUUUUGGGGUCAGUGCCAUAAUCUCCAUUCUGUGUUGGCAAGAAGCCUAUUUUUGGUCAUCUAAAGAUUAGCUGAAACUCUGAAGCAUAAAGCUUGGUGUCUUUAAAAAAAAUCUGAUUCCUAUGGAUGUGUUGUGAAGACUUCUGUUCCACCUGUACAUAUUCAUAGACUCAUUUCAGUGACUUUCUACAGGUGAAUUUUACUGACACUGUAUGAUUCUAUUUUUGUCCUUUAAAAGAAAUUUUUUUCUCUUUUUUUUGACAGGAGGGACAGGUGUUCCUGAUCAGCCCUUUCACUAUCAUUGUUUCAUUUUUCUACAGUUAAUCUAAAUACCUGGUUCUCUGUCGCUGUGCUAACUUGAAGAGGUGACCAUUUGCUGUGAGUUAAUGAUGUUUAUGCUCUCUCCUAUGGGUCUCUCCUCCUUUUCCUCCUAUGAAGCAACAUCACAAAAGGAACAUACAGUGCAAGAUUUUCUCCUUGCAGUUAAUAAUGCCAAGCACUCACUGUGUUGAGAAAAAUGUUCUUUUAAACAUGCUAGAAUAAAAAAGAUGCUCUGCUAUGUUACCAUAUUGUGUGCCUAAUCCUGAAAAAGAAAUAACUCUGCCCCAACCAGCUUACAGUUUGUUUGGGAUCCAGCCAGUGUAUGUAACUGACACCAGGAAAUCGAAGGGAGAAUAAAGGAAACAUGAGAAAUAUGUUAACAUGGACAAAUUAUGUAAAAUUACUGUAACCCUCUAAUGCCCAUCCAUUUAAGAUACAGUGUUAUUGCAGGAGUAAUCUUGAGGGACCUGAAAUAACCAAAAGUAGUGAUGUCAAGAUCUUUACUUGAGGAAGAUGAUGUAUUUUUGCAUGUGGAAAAAAGGUGUAAAGAGUGGUGUAGUAACCAGUAGUGGCAGCUUUUUUUGCUGUAUGUUUUAGGCCUUGGACUGUCAGAACAUUUUAUGCUGUAGCAUUCUGGCACCUUCUGCUAAAUUUUGUCCUCCAUAGCUUAUCCUACCUGGCUUCUUGUGGUUUAAGGGCGGGGGCACGGGGGCAGGUAUAAAGUGGAAAAUAACACUGACUGUCUGUGACCAAAAGAAGGUCCCUGAGGUAUUACAAGAGUUUGUAUUUCAGUUUUCUGUCUUGUUGUUUCUGUAGAAAAGUAUGCACUGUUUCUUAGAAGUCCCUGUGUUACAGAGCUGUGCUGGAUUUUGGAGGUCAGUGUGGCUGGACUGUGUAGGUAUCAAAAUAUUACUGCUAUUCAAGUCUCAUAUCUUUUCUGGCUGUAACUACUGUUUGGUUCAUGUAAUGAUCCACAGUUCAGAUAUACAGUUUAGGAAAGAUCAGCAAGAGGUUCCAUUUUGAGAAUACCUCUAAGACAGAGUUGUAAGCAACAAAAAUAUAAUUGUUAGUUAAUUUUUUCUCAUAUAAAUAAGAUUUAUUUUUCCACAUGGAAAUUGUUAUUAUAACACCAUUUCACUGGAAUUUUCUGGGAGUACAAUGGUUCUCUAAAGUGUAUCUUGUUAAAAAAACCCAGCAGCUCAACAACAAAUAAAUCAAUAUAGCUGUAUCUGGCUCUUCAGGUUGUAUUAUGUGAUGUUUCAAGGAAUUAUGUCCUUUCUUCUCCUGUCUGAGGCAGAUAUAACUACAUAAAUAUAAAAUGAAAUCUGCAAUUUUGCAUUUGAAGGUACGGAUCAGUACAUACAGGCUCAGUCUACAGUAGCAAAAUUGUCCUUGGAAAGAAGGACACAAAAUUUCUGCUGGAGUUUUUGUUAAACUGAGAGGAAAAACAAAAGGUCAUGCCUACACAACUUUAGAGUGAAAAUGUUGGAUACCACUAGGACCUUGUUAUUGUUAGUUUCCACACAGUUUUUAGAAAAAUACCCACUCAACUUCACUCUCAGCCAGUGCUUUAAAUUCUCUUAUGCUGGAGAUCAUGUUUUUACUUGCUCUUAUAUAGUUCACUGUCUUCCAUCUAAAUUACAUCCGUUUUAGUGAAGGUGGCUUUUAUCCUUAGUUAAAUUAAACAAAUUAAAAUUUGAAAUACGUUAUAGUCUGGGAGCCUGCUAUGAGGUCCAUUUGUGGACCAUUGUCUCCAUUUCAGACACAUGUCAUUCUGAAAAACCAAAGAGAUGACCCAGGUUUCAGAGUUACACUGUGAGCCCACUGCCAGAGAUCCCUCCCAAUGGAUACUGCAGAACUGGCAAGGGCAUUUUGGAUAGAUGAUGUUCUGCUGAUGUUUCAUGUGUAAAUAUCCACUUCUAACAAGCGUGUUCCCAGCCCAUCCACUCAUUCCCUAACUUCGCCUUCCCAUGUGCUACGUGCUGUAUUUUGGUUAGGUAGCUGCAGAUAGGUCUGCAUAUUCUAAAAGAAUGUUCUGAUACUUUUCUGUACUGUGUGACUUUACAUAGAAGUUUUUCUAUUCAUUAACUGGUAGCAGUCUUUGCUUCACAGUAAUAGAUGGAAGCAAAAAAAAAGAAUCCUCUUCUACUUGUAUUGUAAAAAAAUAACCAAAAUUAGAAAAAGCAAACCUCCCCCCCAGCAAGUAUGCAAGUGUUUAUGAAAAUCAAUAGUUCCUGUGUUACUAGUUAUGAAUAUGAGUUCAGUGCUGAUAAAGACCAUGGAAAAAACUGCUUUUAAGAUAUGAUCAAAUUUAGAAAAUUAGUAAUUUUUUCUCAGUGCAAUUGCUGGAGAUAACAAUAAGACACACUAGAAGUUAGAAUGAGAAAGUUUGUUAUCACUUUAUUUAAAUUUUAGAUGAAAAAAAUGGCAGUAAUAAGCUGUGUUAAAAAAACAACCAACCAACCAAUCAACCUCCCUCCCUCCUUCCUUCCUUCCCUCCCUCCUUCCCAGAUUUAUGCUCCUGAGUUGUUUGGCUAUUUUUGCUUAUCCCUCCCACUGUCAAAGAAUGCAACAAAGUUUUGUCUACACAGAAAGCAAAUACUGCAAGUAAUGCAGCCUAUUGACAUAAGUAAGUGGGAAAUAUGUGAUGAAAUGCUAUGCUCAGGAAAACGAUGAAAUAAAGUGAGAAGAGUUUAGUUUGCUUUCUUUCUUCUGUUUCCAGGGCUUUUUUUUUUUUUUUGGAGGAGAGGUUGAUUUCUCGCUGUUGAUAAACCUUCUGUAACUGAAAAAAGUACAAGGAACUGGUAUGGUAAAGUUUUAAGCUAAGAAACUUUAUAGACUAUGUGACUUCAAAACAGGAAUUCUGAGCACAUAUAAGGCAAAACCUAUAAAAUACAAGCUCUGUGCAAGAAACUUAUUCACUGUGUUGAGGAUAGUUUUAUGCUGGGUACUCUUUAAGGUGUGUUUCUUGGAGAGACUGCUUGGAAAGAGGCACUCGCAGUGCUUUACCACUGUCAGCCUCAUAGGUAGGGUGCUUCUGUCCAGAAAACAAACUAUGAGGCUUUUAAGAUUGUUGGGCUUUUUAAAUUUACCUAAGAGUUUAGGUUAUGUUGUAAGGUGGGGACUCUGACUCAGAAUUAUUUGGGAAUUCUUUGUAUUGUUAAAUUCUUGGAAACUGCUGUAUAGUAGAAUACAAAGAAAAAACGAAAAAGAGGACCUUAUAGCUAGCAUAAACAUAUUCCUAACUAGGAGUUGUCUGAAUCUGGGUCUAAACUAGCUAAUUUCCAGUUUUAUUCUUUGGACAGCAUAUAAUGAAAGCGUAGAAUUAAAAGUCGCUUUUAAAAAUACUGUUAUAUUAGAGACUACUAGACAAGAGUUGGGAGAUAAAGAUGCAAUUAGUAACAGCACAGUAAUUCAGCCUGCAGAGCUACUUGCUACUUAACAAAAAACAAUCAUCCAGAAAGAUCUAUGGGUUCCUAGGCUUAUUGUGGACAGGGCAUGCAAAUAAAAUUAUUUGUUACAAUUACUUAGCAGGACCCUGCACUUUGUUAGAAUUCAAGCAAACUGCAGCCAAACUGCUUAAUUUUGCCUUGUUUUAUAUUGACCCAGACACAGGAAAAAUGAGGCCAGUGAAGUACACAAUGAAAGUGUUAAUAAAAAAUCCCACCAGACCUGGAAACAAGGAAAUUAUGGUUAUUUUUCUCUCCCUUCUCUGAGUAACAAUGCCAGCGGGUCACCACCUCUGCGCUGAGACUGGGAGAGAUUGUGGACAUGUCAGGACAGGGUUGUGCCAAGAGGAUUGAGUAGACCCAGCUGCAGUGAGGGGAAGGGUGAUAGUAACUGUUGUCUCAAUCAGGAUGUGUGAGGACCUUUUUUGUUUUGGGUUCUGGGGGUUUUGUUUUUUUCCCUCCCUAAAUCUGGAAAUCCAGGAUGCUUCCUCCUGUUGAAAUAAAUGGAGAUGGAUAUGCUGUCCAAAUGGGGAAAGUUGUUCUAUGCCCUUUUGAGGUGUUCUUUAAGAAGGAACAGUUCCUCCCUGUUAGCCCACACUCCAAAUGUUAGAUGUAUAAAUAAAAACUGGCUGUGUACUCCCUCAUCAGUUUUAUUUUGAGAUUUUUUUUUCUUCUUUUCAGAACAUUGGAUUUUUUUAGUUAUUUUUCCAUAUUUGUUACCCCUGAAAAGUCUGGAGGAAAUUCAGUAAUUCCAAAACUAGAAAAGUGUCCAUAUUUAUUUUUUGACAAAUUUGUUAUGGCUGUUUGGUAAUACUAACAUACCUCAAUCCCUAGGUGCAAGUGGAUAUUUCUUUGAGUUUCUUUUAUUUCAGACCCCAGAAAUAACUGGACCUUCAGGAACCACAGGCUGAACUUUACCAGUGUCUCAAGACAGUGUAGAAAUAAAUUGAACGGUUUCAGUAAGAUGCACAGGUAUCUUCUCAAAUUCUUUCCUUUUGAUGGACACAUGUGCUUUUUAAACUACAGACCUGGGUUACUUUUUAGAACUAACUUUCGUUUCUCAUUGCUCUUCCCACAAAGUACCAAAGAAGGUUGAUCACAAGCAACUAAGUAUUCCUCGAUGUUAUUACUUGAUGGGAGGCCUUAGCCUGCCCUCCUUUGGGGAAAAUUUUUUACAAAGAGGAAAAGGAAGUGUGCAAAACAGUGAAGAAAUCAAAAAGACCUUAAAUAAAACCACUUUUCAAUAUAAAUUAGCUAAAUUCUGAGCCUAUGAGAUGUCCCUGACUACCACAAUUCUUUACCCAUUUGAUGCUGUGACAGUGAAAUGACAAGUCCUGGGUACUGGCAGAGUCUAACAGCAGAAGCCUUGUGCAACUUUGGGAGAACUGGCUUUUUCCAGCAAGAGCUGACAGAGGAGCAUUACAGCAACUUUUCAUGCAUUUGAAAACUUGCAAAAGGGUUGGUGAUUUUUGUGACUGCAGAAGGAAGAGGUUUUACUGGCUUCAAAGACCAGAUGACUUAGUGACAUUUUAGGAAAAGCUUUCUCACAAGAUUUGUUAGACGUUGGAACAGAUUGCCAAGAGACUAUGGCUGACUAAGGGAAAGUUUUUUAAAGUGAGUUACCUUAGUAUCUCUCAAGAGUGAACCAUGUGACAAAGUGAAAGAAGUGAGCUCUGUCCAGGUCUGGUGUUUUUAUUUCAUAGAUGCUGUGGGGUUAAAUGACCUUCCCAUAAUUAAUUCCUGGGCCUGGUGUUUUCAAGGUGUUUGCAUGUAUCAACACUGGAAGUUGACAGCCAUGUUAGUAAAUGGGUUGAUGUAAAUACAGGCUGCUGCCAAAAAGGGAGGUGUCUUAACUGCCCUUUUCAGGCUGGUUUUCCAUUCAGUGGGGUGACAAAUAUGCACAGCUUAGAUCAAGGCAAAUCUGUCCCUUUUGCAGCAGCAGCUGCUCAGUGUGACCAUGGAACAGGUGCUUAAGGCUGGGUAAUCAAGGGAUGGUCACUUACUGGGGUGAUUGAUACAUGUCCUGACCUAAGUGCCUUGUUCAGGAAGGAACAACAGGCUGAAAGAGCAGCAUAAUGCAAGACAGCUGAAUGUCCUCUAUAGCAAGCUAUCACCUUUUAUCUUAGCCUUAAAUGGAAGUGGUAGGUACUUAGUUCUGUCCAGUAUGCUUUAGCAAACAUGCAAAUAAAGCAAUUCCAGUUUUCAACUUUCAAAAAAAAUGAUAGCUGGAGAGAGGUAACCCACUAAUAAUGAAGUAAGACAGCAUACAUGUCCUGCUUCAAGUGGGGCUUUGCCUCCAGCUCUGUAUCUUUAGCAAAAUUUACCAGUGAUGGUGAAAAUUAGUAUAGAAUUCAAAAUAAUCACAGUAAAACAUUAUCACAGUAUCCCUCUGCUGUAGUGGUGAAAAAUUCAUACUGCCAGCAGGAAUCAUAUUUUGCAGGGGGGAGAAAGUCUAAAGGAGGUAG